rnacentral:rRNA from 1 species
UGAGGAAUACAUCGGAAUCUACUUUUUCGUGGGGGAUAACGUAGGGAAACUUACGCUAAUACCGCAUACGACCUACGGGUGAAAGCAGGGGAUCUUCGGACCUUGCGCGAUUGAAUGAGCCGAUGUCGGAUUAGCUAGUUGGCGGGGUAAAGGCCCACCAAGGCGACGAUCCGUAGCUGGUCUGAGAGGAUGAUCAGCCACACUGGAACUGAGACACGGUCCAGACUCCUACGGGAGGCAGCAGUGGGGAAUAUUGGACAAUGGGCGCAAGCCUGAUCCAGCCAUACCGCGUGGGUGAAGAAGGCCUUCGGGUUGUAAAGCCCUUUUGUUGGGAAAGAAAUCCAGCCGGUUAAUACCUGGUUGGGAUGACGGUACCCAAAGAAUAAGCACCGGCUAACUUCGUGCCAGCAGCCGCGGUAAUACGAAGGGUGCAAGCGUUACUCGGAAUUACUGGGCGUAAAGCGUGCGUAGGUGGUUGUUUAAGUCUGUUGUGAAAGCCCUGGG